rnacentral:rRNA from 1 species
AGUGAACGCUGGCGGUAGGCCUAACACAUGCAAGUCGAACGGCAGCACAGUGAGAGCUUGCUCUUACGGGUGGCGAGUGGCGGACGGGUGAGGAAUACAUCGGAAUCUACUUUUUCGUGGGGGAUAACGUAGGGAAACUUACGCUAAUACCGCAUACGACCUACGGGUGAAAGCAGGGGAUCUUCGGACCUUGCGCGAUUGAAUGAGCCGAUGUCGGAUUAGCUAGUUGGCGGGGUAAAGGCCCACCAGGGCGACGAUCCGUAGCUGGUCUGAGAGGAUGAUCAGCCACACUGGAACUGAGACACGGUCCAGACUCCUACGGGAGGCAGCAGUGGGGAAUAUUGGACAAUGGGCGCAAGCCUGAUCCAGCCAUACCGCGUGGGUGAAGAAGGCCUUCGGGUUGUAAAGCCCUUUUGUUGGGAAAGAAAAGCAGCAGGUUAAUACCCCGCUGUUCUGACGGUACCCAAAGAAUAAGCACCGGCUAACUUCGUG